rnacentral:lncRNA from 1 species
AUUGUUAUUUUCUGAAACUUUAAGUUGCUAGCAAACAAUAUUUUUCAACUUUCCAGAUAUUUGGACAAUAAUCACACUACAACAAAAACGGUCUAUAGCGACACUUUUAAAUGUUGGUAUAGGUCAAAAAAAGUGCUGCUGGCUAAAUUACCAACACUUUUAAAAUGUGUUGCUAUAUGUGAGGUCGCUAGAUAUAUAGUGACAGUUAAAGAGUGUCGCUAUAACCUAAAAAGAGUGCUGUUAAUUUAGCAGCACUUAUUUAAGUAUCUAGCAACCGUCAGAACUCUACCUUGUUGGCUGCGGUGGCGGAGGAGGACAAGAGGGAAGGGCUCUUCGUCUAGGAUUUAAGUAGAAUGAGUGAGAGGAGAAGAGGAGAUGGUAAUCGAUUUUUCUUUGUUUUUUCUUUUCUGUUUGUAAUCGAGCCAAAUAGACUGGGUUGGGUGGGUUGAGUAGAGUAACCUUUUAUUUUUUAUUGGAUUCGGCUUUAUAUUUAGACAUUAGUAGAUAUUUUUUAAAAUUUUGGCAUAAAUGAAACACUUAGACACAUGUGUCGCUAUAACCUAAUUCUGUUGUAGUGUCAGUUGUUCUUAAUUCAAAUUUAGUUGCAUCCUAU